rnacentral:rRNA from 1 species
GACGAACGCUGGCGGCGUGCUUAACACAUGCAAGUCGAACGGAAAGGCCCUGCUUUUGUGGGGUGCUCGAGUGGCGAACGGGUGAGUAACACGUGAGUAACCUGCCCUUGACUUUGGGAUAACUUCAGGAAACUGGGGCUAAUACCGGAUAGGAGCUCCUGCUGCACGGUGGGGGUUGGAAAGUUUCGGCGGUUGGGGAUGGACUCGCGGCUUAUCAGCUUGUUGGUGGGGUAGUGGCUUACCAAGGCUUUGACGGGUAGCCGGCCUGGGAGGGUGACCGGCCACAUUGGUACUGAGAUACGCCCCAGACUCCUACGGGAGGCAGCAGGGGGGAAUAUUGCACAAUGGGCGGAAGCCUGAGGCAGCAACGCCGCGUGCGGGAUGACGGCCUUCGGGUUGGAAACCGCGUUCGCCUGUGACGAAGCGUGAGUGACGGUAAUGGGUAAAGAAGCACCGGCUAACUACGUG